rnacentral:lncRNA from 1 species
UGUGUGAUGUGUUUUCGUGUGUGAUGUGUGUUAGUGUGCAAUGUGUUAGCGUGCGUGAUGUCUCACUGCUGUUCAAGUGGACAUUAGCAUUGUCAGGUGGCCUCUGCAGUGUGGGGGUUCCUCUGGUCUGAGCUUGGCAGCCCCUUACCUCAGAGUCCAGGCCUCCUGUGUGUCCUCCAGAGAUAGUUCUCAUGGCAGCACUGGCUGCCCGAGCCCCCAGAGAUGCACUGGGCCCAGCCGCCAUCUUCACAAAUGGUGAACCUCUCCCUUCAAACCACACUGUAGGCACAGGCAGCUGCUGCAAGGCUGAGUCUCUGUGGAAUCCCUUCCUCUCCGAAGGGGCCUGUGAACCGUGACCGAGGGCAGUGAGGAGGGAUCUGGAGAAUCUCAGGGCGCGAGGACACUGGCGGGGCAAGUACGGGGGCAAACCUGCAGGGGCAGCUGCCAGGAGCCAAAAUCAGGGUCAACCUUUCCGUGAGGUGCUUUUGUGCAAACUGAUGUUUAGCUCCUGACUUAAGUAAAAAACAUCCUUACGUCUUAGGUACAUUUGUAAAACCUGGGUUUUAUAUGUGAUGGAAAUAAUGUACCAUCAGUAUUGCAGCGUUGCUAAAACAGGGCAAGGUUUUCUAUUAUGGGGUGACCCUGGGGUCUUCUAUUAUCAGGGUGACCCUGGGUCUUCUAUUAUCGGGGUGACCCUGGGGUUUUCUAUUAUCGGGGUGACCCUGGGGUUUUCUAUUAUGGGGUGGCCCUGGGGUCUUCUAUUAUGGGGUGGCCCUGGGGUUUUCUAUUAUCGAGGUGACCCUGGCUCCCGUGGCAAAUGCUGUCCCCAGUAGCACGUGGGGCUCUUCAGCUUAUCUGAGUGCCGCGUCUCCAUGGGCGGCAAUUUCUCGGAGGCCUGGCACGGCGGCACCGGAAGCGGGUACUGGUGCCCUAAGGAGCGGGAGGGUCAACGUCCGGGGCCUGCCCUGCACUCGCCGAGGUGAUGGGUUGGUUAGAGGAGCCACAGUUCCUCUCCGUGCACUCACGUGAAUUACGCGCGGUGACUCAGCAGCCCCAUGACGUCAUGGCUCUGAGCGAGCGGCCGAGCGUCGGUGCCCCAGUCCAGCCCUUGCUGUUCCUUCACACUCACGUUUCCAAGCUGAAAACGCGAGGGGCUCAAAACUGGAAAGGAAAACAGCGUGGUCGGCCUCUCGUUCCUGCGACGCGUUCUGUGGGUGAUGGAAAGAUGGGGGAGGAGGAGGGACCACCCAGGGUGCCCCCCGCCGACCGUUACCCGCCCUUUGCCCCAAGGCUGUCUUUGAGGUCGGUCUUUCUGGGGCUGUGGCCCAAAUGAAGUCAAGAGACAGCAUCGGGCGUUGACUGUCCCCUCGUGUGGGCCGGGCACCGACCCUGCCUGGGGUUGCUGGGCACCAGCGCUCGUCACAAUAAAAAACCCACAGUGAAGAUGGGUCAGGGGUUUGCACUGCGCCAGGUCUGCUCAUCCCCAAAGCCACGGUUUUCCCAUCGCAGGUGGUCUGGAAGCACCAGACGGCGCGCGUGUGGGGUGGCCAGCGACGGGCUGCCACGGAGGUGUGCGACCUGCAGGCCACAGACAUUCCCAGAGAGCCCCUGCGUGCAAAACAUGGACACACAGAUGUUUGUGAAGCUCUGGGAUGGCGUUUAGCAGGAGGAAUAACGGGGUCUUCAGAGAAUCAACAAAAUAAAUGUAGCACCUGUUGGGUUAUUGAAACCAGUUGUUAUUAGGAAGGGAUCUGGGGCAAUUGAUGAAGAAACAGGAAGACGACAAAACUCAAGGUCCAAGAAUGAGGAAGCCGAGGAAGAAUGAGGAAGCCGAGGAAGAAUGAGGAAGCCGAGGAAGAAUGAGGAAGCCGAGGAAGAAUGAGGAAGCCGAGGAAGAAAGCAGCCGCCGUGUGGAGCCGCCCAGAGACUGGCACUCACCUGUGUCACUGUGCGGGGAGGGCAGGGUCUCGCCAGCAGCCGGUGGCACAUGCGGGCGGCACGGGGGCUGCGUGGUGGCCUCUGUGAUGUCACCUGGCAGAGGUGCCUGAGCUGGGCCCGGCGUGGAGGGCAUAGGCCUCACUCUCUGACUGCCUGACAGUCCCUACAGUGAGCGGGACCCCCUUAUUAAGGCUGUGGGGCAGAGUGGGGUGACAGGUGUUGAGGGGUGGGGCCCAGCCCCGGGCACCCGCAUGUUCCUCUCUGCCCCUGGGAGAAGUGUUGAGAGACGGAGCUCGGGAUCAGCUGGCAUAUCCACCAUGUUCCAGGGUCGACCAGGGAGCACAGAGCCCUGAACAUCCCUUCAACAGCGCGCCACACGCUCCUGGCACAAACUCCAGACCACGGCACAGCACCCAGAUGGCUGCAGCCACGCAGAAACCCACAACUGCCAGGACCGUGGGGUGACAGCCACGGUGGGCUCUGCAGGCCCCUCUGGUCUAAGACACCAGGAGGCCACAUCCAGCAACCAAGGCCACCCGGCAGGACACGUCAGGAUGGAGGUGCAGUGAAGACUGCGGUGGACGCCUCCAGAGGUUCCCACUUGGCUUCCAGUGGAGCCUCUGCCAAACCCGGCCUGUGCAAGGGCAGAGACAAGGCCCAGCAGGGCUCGAGCAGGCCCAAACGCACGACGCAGCUGCUGUGCCUGGGUCUGAGCUGCACCCACAGUUUUCCUGGCGUCUUGUCCUCUGGAUGGGCCUCUGGAUGAACAUAAACUCCAGGGAAGCUGCAUAGAAUAUGCAGCUCUUCUUUAACGCUCCCUAGAGGAAGAAAGCCCCUCAGCCGGAAGUAUUGUUGACGUCGCCGCCACUACUAAUGAAAUAUUUACUGAAAAGCCAAAGCGAAACAUUUUUCUAGUUAAUUAAAACAGUGCAUCUUUCAAGCAAGCUCCCUCGAGGGGCCAGGCUCGGACGGACCCAGCGGGCAGGCAACCCGAGGUGCUCCUGAGUGGGGUCUCGACUGGGAAGGGGGCGCCCAGGACGCAGGUGGGGUUCCUGCCACACGACACUGAGGGGUGGGGGGACAGACGCUGCAGAGACCCUGCGAAAGGCCCCUCCCGAUGGGUAAACUCACACUUGGUACACGCUGGCAGGGGCAUCUGGGCCUGCACUCUGGAAUUGGUGGUGGUCCUGGGAAGGUUUUUUGGGCCAGGGACAAGAGUACUUGGGUUUGCUUUCUGGAAAAAUGAAAAAAGAGAAGUU